ACCCCUACGGGGGGCAGCAGUGGGGAAUAUUGGACAAUGGGCGCAAGCCUGAUCCAGCCAUGCCGCGUGAGUGAUGAAGGCCCUAGGGUUGUAAAGCUCUUUCACCGGUGAAGAUAAUGACAGUACCGGGAGAAUAAGCUCCGGCUAACUCCGUGCCAGCAGCCGCGGUAA
rnacentral:rRNA from 1 species